CUACGGGGUGCUGCAGUGGGGAAUAUUGGACAAUGGGGGAAACCCUGAUCCAGCAAUGCCGCGUGUGUGAAGAAGGCCUGCGGGUUGUAAAGCACUUUCGGUUGGGAGGACUGCUUCUAGCACUAAUAUUGUUGGAAGUUGACGUUACCUUCAGAAGAAGCACCGGCUAACUCCGUGCCAGCAGCCGCGGUAAUACGGAGGGUGCAUGCGUUAAUCUGAAUUACUGGGCGUAAAGCGCGCGUAGGCGGCUAGAUCAGUCGGGUGUGAAAGCCCCGGGCUUAACCUGGGAACUGCAUCCGAUACUGUCUAGCUUGAGUACAGGAGAGGAGAGUGGAAUUCCACAUGUAGCGGUGAAAUGCGUAGAUAUGUGGAGGAACACCAAUGGCGAAGGCAGCUCUCUGGCCUGAUACUGACGCUGAGGUGCGAAAGCGUGGGGAGCAAACAGGAUUAGAUACCCCGGUAGUC
rnacentral:rRNA from 1 species